rnacentral:rRNA from 1 species
UGAGGAAUAUUGGUCAAUGGGCGAGAGCCUGAACCAGCCAAGUAGCGUGAAGGAUGACUGCCCUAUGGGUUGUAAACUUCUUUUAUAAAGGAAUAAAGUCGGGUAUGGAUACCCGUUUGCAUGUACUUUAUGAACUAAGGAUCGGCUAACUCCGUGCC